CGGUGAGCAAGGGUCAGUGGCGGCCGAUGGUGCUGCGGAUAUGUGAUAGCGCACGGGGGGAUUACGCACUGGCAAGCAAAGGAAUAUUAAAUUGCCCCCUAUUGGUUGCCAUCACAGAACAAGAAUGGCAAUGGCAAGAAGGUUCACAUCAAGUCUAUUAAGUCAGCUAUGUUCUACUUCAUGUGCAAACAGGGUGAUGCACAGUGAUGCAGCAUCAGGGAUGCGGCUGCCAUCAUCAAACGUGUGGAUGAGAAGAUCUGGAUCGGAUCUUCGCUCAUGUGUUGCCUCACUGAAGACAAGUGCAUCAUAUUCAGGCAUCAUAAUAGACCAGGAAGUCCAACCAGAUGACAACUCAAAAUUAGCAGCAGAAAAUGAAAUUGUUUCAGGUGUUGUGUCGCGUGUGAACGAGAGCAUCAGCGAGGAACGGCCGGUCGCCUGUUCGCCGUGGUGCACGUUGCCGGGAAGCAGUUCAAGGUGACGGACGGUGACCUGGUGGUGGUGCAGGGUCACUGGCCGCCCGUCACC